AGAGACCCCUCCCCUCGUGGCGGGGGGAGAAAAGUUCCUCUGGGGCCCCCACCGAUUCUUCGUGUGAACAAACCAGGUCGAGGCUCGGGACCGAACCCGUCCCCCAUCAGAGGACCUCAUCGCAACACAGUGGAAAAGCCGGGCGAUAACUCUUGGAGGCCUCAGCCAGACGAUCCUCCAGCCUGGAACAAACCUCCAACUCUUCCCCCGACCCCGACCUCCGUAAGCCGGAGCGACUCCUCCGCCAGACCGGCUGCCACCAGGUCAACAUCAGAUAUUAAAGCUUACAGACAUAUAUCCACCAGAGAGGAAUGAGUCCUAAACCCUGAGUCAGCA